ensembl:lncRNA
CAAAGUCAUAGAAUAGGAGCCUUUAAAUUGUAUUGUUCAUUAAGAUAUAACAGAUUGUCUGGUUGUUAAGUGAUGACGUAUGAACCCUGCUUCCGGGUCUGCGUUUAUUAAGGCUGUUGUAUUUUUAACAUGUUUAAAUGUUUGUAUCUUGUUCUCUUUAAUCUGAACCCCCUAAAAAACCCCAGCAGUGAUCACUGUCAGCCUCUCUUGGUUUUUAUUACCACUAUUCAUAGGCAGCAUGUUUUAAAGUCAGUUUUUAAAACCUUACAGCGUAACUACAGCCCAGCCCAUGCAGCAGCAUAUUAAUGAUCGACCUUGUAUUGUGACAAUGCGACAUAAGAAGACCUUUUACAAAUAUUUGCAAAUUGUAAAUUUUCCAUGUGGGAGACGGAGGAGUGAAUAUUACUUUAAGGUUCUUUACAGUUCCCAUAAAGAGGUGGGGCAUUGUAAAGGGAAAGCAUGUUAAGAGUUCUAAUUAUGUCAGUUAUUUUGUAGACACUGACGAUCCUCUAUUUCUACUAACAUAUCUGAACUUUUAAUUUUUCAGUCAAACAGUCAGUGACCUUUCCAUUUCUUGCAAUUGAGGUAAAACGAUUUGUAGUAUCAAACAUUUCUGUUGAAAAGCAUUUAAAAAUGACUUCCUUGUGAUUGUAUAUGACCACCAACCAAUCAAACUACAUUUUGCACCAUAUCUACUGUUCAACUCAUAUCUAAUCAGCCAAUCAGCCAAAGGAGAUUUAAGGGACUUUGAAUGUGGUGUGGUUGUUGGUGCCAGUUGAGCUGGUCUGAAUAUUUCAUAAAUGGCUGAUUUACUUGAAUUUUCCCACACUUUAGAGUCUCUAGGGUUUACAGAGAAGGGUCUGAUAAAGAGGAAAUAUCCAGUGAGUGGCUGUUCUCUGGGAGAAAAUACUUUGUGAAGGCCAGAGGAAAAUAGACUGAUUUGAGCUGAUAGAAAUCGAACAGUUAUUCAGAUAACCACUGCAAAACCACUUAAUGUCACUCGUGUCAGUUACAAAAAUUAACAUUAGGCUGAAAUUUGUUCUAACUCACCAAAAUGAGACAAUAGAGGAUUUGAAAAAUGUUGCUUGGUGUGAUGUGUUUAGCUGCGACAUUUAGAUGGUAGGUUCAGGAUUUGAUGUAAACAACAUGACAUCCUAGAUCCAUUCUCCCAUGUAUUAAAAACUCAAGCGUAGGUGUUGAUUACCUGGAUCUUGUGCUUUCCAUUCAGCUGACUCCUCAGGACUUGUCUUACCCUCUGCAGGUAAGGCAGGUCAUCUUGGUUCCCACUUGCCUGUGGGAUUCCUAGGUAUCUGUAGCUGUCCUCGAUGUCUGUAAUGUUACCGUCUGGUAGUACAAUCACCUCAGUUCUGACUACCUUCCCUCUCUUCGUUACCAUCCCACUACACCUCUCCAGUCCGAUUGACAUUCCGAUGUUGACGCUGUAGAUCAGGGGUGGAGAACUCCAGGGCUCGAGGGCCGGUGUCCUGCAGGUUUUAGAUAUCACCCUGGGUCAUGUCGUGAAAAUUUCAAGUAACCUGCAAAGACUCAGUGAGUGUUUUUUGAAGUGGAGUUUAUUAUAUACAUUUCUUAUUUCUUAUAUACAAACUGGUAAAAUUCAGAGACAAAGAGAAUUCCAGAGCACAUCACGUCACUCUAUACCUGCCAGUUCAGCUCAUCCUUGAAACCUUCCCUUCAGAGAGAAUUACAACCAGCUAUCACCUCCCUUUUCCCCCCAGAAAUGAGCAACAGGUCCCCCCGCACACAGGUGCCUGGAUGUCUCUGGCCGAUUACAAUGGCCCCACUGUGAAGGUGUGAUAAAGCAUAAAGACACAUUUGUGAUGUAAUCCUAUAUGUAUAUAACUAAAUGACAAAAAGUGAUAUUACUAUUACAAAAGUGAUCAAUACAUAAAAUAAAGAAAUUUCCCAUCACUGUCAACACACCUGAAUCAAAUGAUUAGUUCAUUACCAGGCCUCUGGAGACUUCAAGACAUGUUGAGGAGGUCAUUUAGCCAUUUAAAUCAGCUGUUUUCAAUCAAGGGCAUGUCUAAAUCCUGCAGGACACCGGCCCUCGAGGCCUGGAGUUCCCCCACCCCGCUGUAGAUCCUUCACUGCAGCCUGAGUAAAAGAAAGUUGUGCAGAAAGUGAAGAUUGGGACUCCGCAUGCAUUAUCAGUGCAUGUACUUAUUUGUAAAAUAAUGAGUGGUUUGUUUGAGUUUGUUUUAUCAGAUAUAUUGAGUCCCUUAAACUGUUGUCUUAUGGUACAGAAAAACCCCAAUCUAUUAACCACCUUUGGGUUGAGGAUCAUUUUUCCCAGUUUCUUAGAAUUUGUUUGAAUAUGCAGAUGAGAAUGUGGCUUGAAGAAGGGUCAUUGGACCGAUCACUUCAGACACGUCAUCAUCAGGUCUACAGUACAGUCAGCAUGAAGACUCUCAGCCUGACGGUGGGACUGCUGCUCGUGCUGUUCACCGUUUACCACAGCGAUGCCUGUAAGUCUGCCACUUGGACUUGUGUUAGAUCAGUUUUUGAAUUUCUGUCUUUCUCUUCAUUCAGACACAGAGUGAGACAGGGGGAGGAUAUCAAACUCAUAUAAGUUCAUGGUCAUGAAGACCAAUGCUGAUCUCAGAUCCCGUGGACCCGUCCCUGUUUUCCCGGUGAAGAUCCUUAGUUGUGGAUGACUGGAGAGUGGCUGGUAGAGAGCAGUGAGUGGGCGAAGAAGCGCAAGUGUUUUCCCUUGUCCUCCCCACCUUGGAUUCCCUGGAGCCCGGACCCCUGUCACACUUGUAUAUAGCAAAAUUCCCUGCACUGUCUGUAAAUACACCUGUGAAUGUGAAAUAAACCUCACUGUGUC